GGCCAAGGCUCAACAACAACAUACCCAGUGUAGUAGUGAGGUCUGAGGAGGGUAGAGUGUAUGCGACCAUACCACUACCUUAGAGGUGAGGUAGAGAGGUUGUUUCCGAUAGAUCCUCAGCUAAAGAAAGAAACAAUCUAGAAAAAGACGUAAUGAAAGUACAAGAGACAAUAUAUGGAAACAAUAGCUAGUAUCAGAAUAGUCCUACAACAAGAUACCACUACCGGCG
rnacentral:lncRNA from 1 species